UGGGGAAUUUUGGACAAUGGGCGCAAGCCUGAUCCAGCGACGCCGCGUGGAGGACGAAGGCCUUCGGGUUGUAAACUCCUUUUGGAGGGGAAGAAUAAAUUGACGGUACCCUCAGAAAAAGCCACGGCUAACUACGUGCCAGCAGCCGCGGUAAUACGUAGGUGGCGAGCGUUACUCGGAAUUACUAGGCGUAAAGCGUAUGUAGGUGGUUAGAUAAGUCUAUGGUGAAAUUUCCUGGCUUAACUGGGAAGGGACAUAGAUACUAUCUGGCUUGAGUGUGGGAGGGGGAGACGGAAUUCCUGGUGUAGCGGUGAAAUGCGUAGAUAUCAGGAGGAACACCGAUGGCGAAAGCAGUCUCCUGGCCCAAUACUGACACUGAGGUACGAAAGCUAGGGUAGCA
rnacentral:rRNA from 1 species